rnacentral:tRNA from 1 species
GCACUCGUAGCUCAACUGGAAAGAGCAGGUUCCCGCUAAGUCCCCGAUGCUGGUUCGAGUCCAGCCGAGUGCG